rnacentral:rRNA from 1 species
CACAGGGAUUGCCUCAGUAACGGCGAGUGAAGCGGCAACAGCUCAAAUUUGAAAUCUGGCUCCUCUGGGGUCCGAGUUGUAAUUUGUAGAGGAUGCUUCGGGUGCGGCGCCAGUCUAAGUUCCUUGGAACAGGACGUCAUAGAGGGUGAGAAUCCCGUAUGUGACUGGAUGCCUAGCUCAUGUGAAGCUCCUUCGACGAGUCGAGUUGUUUGGGAAUGCAGCUCUAAAUGGGUGGUAAAUUUCAUCUAAAGCUAAAUACCGGCCAGAGACCGAUAGCGCACAAGUAGAGUGAUCGAAAGAUGAAAAGCACUUUGGAAAGAGAGUUAAACAGCACGUGAAAUUGUUGAAAGGGAAGCGCUUGCAAUCAGACUUGCCCGCAGUUGAUCAACCGGUGUUCUCACCGGUGUACGCUUCUGCGGUCAGGCCAGCAUCAGUUUGGGCGGCUGGAUAAAGGCCUCGAGAAUGUAGCUCCUCUCGGGGAGUGUUAUAGCUCGAGGUGCAAUGCAGCCUGCCCGGACUGAGGACCGCGCUUCGGCUAGGAUGCUGGCGUGAUGGUUGUAAGCGACCCGUCUUGAAACACGGACCAAGGAGUCUAACAUCUAUGCGAGUGUUUGGGUGUCAAACCCAUGCGCGUAAUGAAAGUGAACGGAGGUGGGAACCCUUAAGGGUGCACCAUCGACCGAUCCUGAUGUCUUCGGAUGGAUUUGAGUAAGAGCAUAACUGUUGGGACCCGAAAGAAGAUGAACUAUGCCUGAAUAGGGUGAAGCC